CCUCCGCCCACCACACCCUCCGACCCAGGACUCGUUAUGAAGAAUAUUCUUAUGAUGAGAGCUACACAGAGGCAGGCUAUGAAUCCUAUGACAGCUACUACAAUCAGCCACAAGCAGAACCAGAAUACUAUGACUAUGGACAUGGAGAGACACAGGAAGGCUAUAGAAAACUAC